rnacentral:rRNA from 1 species
AUUGAACGCUGGCGGCAUGCCUUACACAUGCAAGUCGAACGGCAGCACGGGUGCUUGCCCCUGGUGGCGAGUGGCGAACGGGUGAGUAAUACAUCGGAACAUGUCCUGUAGUGGGGGAUAGCCCGGCGAAAGCCGGAUUAAUACCGCAUACGAUCUACGGAUGAAAGCGGGGGACCUUCGGGCCUCGCGCUAUAGGGUUGGCCGAUGGCUGAUUAGAUAGUUGGUGGGGUAAAGGCCUACCAAGGCGACGAUCAGUAGCUGGUCUGAGAGGACGACCAGCCACACUGGGACUGAGACACGGCCCAGACUCCUACGGGAGGCAGCAGUGGGGAAUUUUGGACAAUGGGCGAAAGCCUGAUCCAGCAAUGCCGCGUGUGUGAAGAAGGCCUUCGGGUUGUAAAGCACUUUUGUCCGGAAAGAAAUCCUUGGCUCUAAUACAGUCGGGGGAUGACGGUACCGGAAGAAUAAGCACCGGCUAACUACGUG